rnacentral:rRNA from 1 species
UACGUAGGGUGCGAGCGUUAAUCGGAAUUACUGGGCGUAAAGCGUGCGCAGGCGGUUCGUAAAGUCUGAUGUGAAAGCCCCGGGCUCAACCUGGGAACUGCAUUGGAAACUAGCGAGCUCGAGUGUGGCAGAGGGGGUGGAAUUCCGACGUGUAGCAGUGGAAAUGCGUAGAGAUGAUGGAGGAACACCGAUGGCGAAGGCAGCCCCUGGGCUAACACUGACGCCUCAGGCACGAAAGCGUGGGGAGCAAACAGG